rnacentral:rRNA from 1 species
UACGGGGGGGGCAAGCGUUGUUCGGAAUUACUGGGCGUAAAGGGCGCGUAGGCGGUCAGACCAAGUCGAGUGUGAAAUUCCAGGGCUUAACUCUGGCGCGCUCGCUCGAUACUGGUCGGCUAGAGUGUGGAAGAGGAUGCUGGAAUUCCAGGUGUAGCGGUGAAAUGCGUAGAUAUCGGGAGGAACACCAGUGGCGAAGGCGGGCAUCUGGGCCAACACUGACGCUGAGGCGCGAAAGCUAGGGGAGCAAACAGG